rnacentral:rRNA from 1 species
UACGUAGGGGGCAAGCGUUGUUCGGAAUUACUGGGCGUAAAGCGCACGUAGGCGGCUUUGUAAGUUAGAGGUGAAAGCCCGGGGCUCAACUCCGGAACUGCCUUUAAGACUGCAUCGCUUGAAUCCAGGAGAGGUGAGUGGAAUUCCGAGUGUAGAGGUGAAAUUCGUAGAGAUCGGGAGGAACACCAGAGGCGAAGGCGGCGACCUGGACAAGUACUGACACUCAACUACGAAAGCGUGGGGAGCAAACAGG